rnacentral:rRNA from 1 species
UACGUAGGUGGCAAGCGUUGUCCGGAUUUACUGGGCGUAAAGAGCGCGCAGGCGGUCGGAUAAGUCGAAUGUGAAAGCCCCCGGCUCAACUGGGGAGGGUCAUUCGAUACUGUUCGACUCGAAGGCAGGAGAGGUAAGUGGAAUUCCGAGUGUAGAGGUGAAAUUCGUAGAUAUUCGGAAGAACACCAGUGGCGAAGGCGACUUACUGGACACAUAUUGACGCUGAGGUGCGAAAGCGUGGGGAGCAAACAGG